UCCAAAGUACGUAGAAGCUAAAUAUGUUGACGAUAGCAUUCGAGUGUAGAAGUUAUUCGAGUAGGUCGAGUUAAAUGUUUUUGUCACAUAUUAAGAAAAAGGAGAAUUACAUUGGAUAAGUGGGCACCAACUGAUAAAAAUGGACGAGGACGAAAUCAACAAUGCACGACCUUCGACAUCUUCGGAUUCAGUCCCCAUACGCGUAAAAGGCCAACCUUCAUAUAGACGGCAAAGAAGACUCGGGCAAGGAACUUCAAUACCUUGGAAUUCGGGGCAGAGACGCAAUGAGAAUACUACUAAUACUUUUCAAAAUGACCCCAUGCGGCCUAAAUUAUUAGCGCCCUUACUACAUAAUUUCCCCAGAAAUAAACUGGGACAGAAACAGGACGGACGUAGUCAAGGUUUCGUUCACAAUAGUAAUAACCGAUCGAUUCAACAGCAUUUCGAUCGGAACCAUGGUGGUAAUCCCAUCAAUCGCCAAAGAAAAAUGGGAUUCAAGACUUUAGAAGAAUUAGCUAAUGCGGACAGCGGGGAUAUACUGAUGAAAAUCAGCGUAAAAAGAGAAGCUUUUAUGGAUUUUAUAAAUUCGCCCAUAGAUCGACCCGAUGUAUUUCCACUCUUAAUGAUGAUCUUGUCCAAAGCUUGCCAAACAUCGUUCGAUAACCUUAGACUGAAAUUUAUAGUAGAAGUAUGUAAUUCCCAAUUUUUGAUUUACUUGCAAAACUACUUAUUGAAUUUACCAUAUGGCACACCAAAGCGCACAAAUAACUUAUACUGGAAGAAUCAAAGAGAUUUUUGGAGUAAUUUUAUACAGUUUUGCGAAUGCGUGACGACAGUGUCGCCGUCGACGGCGCUCCGCACGUGCAGGGCUCUGAUCGAGGCAUCUUCUAAAGUUUGUUUGGACGGUCUUAGCGAGCGACAUGAUUUUCAACUUCCCGACGAAUAUGCAUUGAAAUUAACUCAGCUACGUAGCUCAUUAACAAUACAGGAGAAAGAAGUUGAGGUGGAACAAAAAACUAAAUCCUAUCAGUUGGAGGUUGACGAUGGAGAUCCACCGGAGAACUUUCGAGAACUAAGCGUGGUGCCGAGUCAGAAGGACCUGUUAGAGCAGCGGCCGUUCGUGCGACCUAACAUUGUCGACGGCGCGUAUCGUGACCAAGAACAUUAUCUCGAUGUACAAUUCAGGUUGCUGCGAGAAGAUUGUUUCGGACCACUUCGCGAAGGAAUAAAUCAACACAUAAAGGAGCCUAUGAAGAAAAAAUACGAUCACAUCCGAGUUCUACGUAACGUGGUGUUUGUGGAACCAUUCCUUUCCCAAUUGCAAUCAGGCUAUCUCGUGCGAGUUAGUUCAAAAGAUAUGGCAAGAUUUCGAAAGACCAAUUGGAAAAAUAGCAAACGUUUUAUGUUUGGUUCGCUUGUACUGUUCACCAAAGAUAACUGUAAAACCUUUAUAGUUGGCACAAUUUUGGAUCGUGAUGUUAAAUAUUUGUCAAAGGGAAAGAUACCGAUAGCAUUGGUGGAUCAUACGACCGGAGUGAACAUUUGUUUCAGUGGGGACAGAUACAACUUGAUAGAAAGCGACGUCUACUUUGAGCCUUAUUUCCACGUGCUCAAUGCGCUCAAGGAUCCUAAAUUCCCCGAACACUUGGCUAUGAGCAAAUAUAUUGUCGAUGUAGAUCCGACACAGAAUCUGCCUCGUUAUCUAAAACCACAACAAGUGUACGAAAUUGAAUGUGAUUAUUAUAUUGAUCAGAGUUUUGUAGUGGAAGAUGAGAGGACGUGGCCGACUAAUAAUCAGUUGGGCCUCAAUGAAACUCAAUACGAGGCGUUCAAGUUGGCUUUGACUCAUGAAUUUGCAGUCAUCCAAGGUCCACCUGGUACGGGAAAGACUUUUAUCGGUGUUAAAGUUGCCGCAACAUUGAUUAAGAAUUUAAAGCCUGAAAAAAAUUGCCUUCUUCUUAUGAUUUGUUACACGAACCAUGCGUUGGAUCAAUUUUUAGAAGCGAUUCUGCCGGUGACCCAGUCCGUCGCACGUAUCGGCGGCCAAUCGCGCAGCGAAGUUAUGAAGAAUUAUAACCUAAAUGAAUUAAGGCAUCAGUUCUGUCGCCAAAAAGGUGGCAAACAAUAUUUCUAUGAUGAAAGAGAUAAAAUAAGAAGGUUGAAUAAAACAUUAAAAGACGCACAGGAGCGUCUUUAUUCUUUACACAAUGAAGUACUGAGUUACUCGUGUGUACAGAAAUACGUCGCUGAAAUAGGUGUGUUGAAACAAUUUUAUGGUCGCGGCAAUGGAGAUCCUUUGGAACAAUGGUUAUUUGAAAAUACAGAUGUUGACGCUGAACUUCCUGCGGCCGAUGCUUAUGAAAAUGAAAAUUUUGAAUCACUCGAUAAUGAAAACAAAAACAAUAGGGAUGACUUUUGUCUCGAUGAUUUGGAUGACGAUAACGACGAAUGCAAUAUUAACGUCGUCGAGUCGUUGACGGAGUACGUGACCACAAGUUUUUCUUUACCAAAGGCUAUAUCGGAAAUGAGAAAUAUGGAAGCGCAAUAUCAGAAAUGUUCAAAUCCUGGUGAUAUACAACAGCUCAAUGAAAUUAUUCGUUCAUAUAUUAGCUCCAUACAUCUUUUUAAAGAGAUGUCUGCGUAUCGCCGGCACAAACGCGACGACGUCCGGCUUCAAGCUAAUCCUACACAGAUGUCCACUCAAGACCGCUGGUUCCUGUAUUUUUCUUGGGCUGAUAUUGUUAUCGCUAAACUCACGGAGAGCAUUAUCCCAUUGCACGAAGAAUUUGCAGAGGCGAGUAAAGUUUACGAAGAGACGAGGAUGGCAAUAGAUCUUGAGAUAUUGAAAAAUAAAAAGGUCAUCGGCAUGACCACAACUGGGGCUGCGAGGUUAAGGAAAUUGCUACAGGCUCUGGCUCAUCCAAUAAUAAUAGUAGAAGAAGCUGCAGAAGUUCUCGAACAGCACAUAAUAACAUCGCUGACACGACAUUGCCAACAUCUUAUUCUAAUUGGUGACCAUCAACAAUUGCGGCCAUCAGCUGCUCAUAUGAAAUUAGCCAAACAUUACAACAUCGAAGUGUCACUGUUCGAGCGCAUGAUCAACAACAAGAUACACAGCAGCCGGCUGGGCGUGCAGCACCGCAUGCGCCCGGAGAUCGCCUCGCUCAUCUCCCCCCACAUCUACCCCCACCUGCUCAACCAUCCCUCCGUCGAACACUUCCCCGACGUGCGAGGGAUGACGACUAAUUUGUUCUUCUUCAGUCACGACUUCAAAGAAAACGAAGUCGACGAAAGUUCAAGCAAAUGCAAUGAGAAAGAAGGGGAUUUAGUGCUCGGCUUGGCCAAUUAUCUCGUGCAGCAGGAUUAUGCCCCUGAGGAUGUUACAAUUCUCUCCGCUUAUUCCGGACAAAUGUUUUACUUGCAAAAGCAACGCGCAUUAUACGCGCACUUGAAGGCCAUCAAAAUCACCGUCGUUGACAAUUAUCAAGGCGAGGAAUCUAAAAUUAUUAUCCUAUCACUCGUGCGGAAUAACAAUAACAACAAAAUUGGUUUCUUGGGAACCGUAAACCGGAUUUGCGUGGCUUUGUCCAGAGCACGAGAAGGUUUCUAUUUAUUUGGAAAUAUGGACUUAUUGAAAACGAAUUCUGAACUUUGGGAGAAAAUCGCAACAACUUUGGAAAACAACGGAUCGCUCGGGAGUAGACUGCGUUUGCGUUGCGAGCGGCAUCCCGCAGAAAUUCUAUGGAUUGCAGAUGCGGCAGACUUUGAGAAAUUUCCAGAAGGAGGGUGUUUGAAUAAGUGCACUAUGAAUCUGACAUGCGGACAUCCAUGUCCGCUGAUAUGUCACGGCUACGAUCGCGGACAUGUCAACAUAAAGUGCACAAUGAAAUGUGAAAGAAUUAUAUGUGAGAGCGGGCACGUGUGCACGCUGGCGUGCGCGGAGAGUUGCGCGCCGUGCAGCGUGCUGGUGACACGCCGCUUGCCCUGCGCACACGACAUGCAGCUGCGCUGCCAUCUCGACAUCACAGAUCCUUCUGUUAAGUGUGACACCAUCAUCACCGUUGUCUUAAAAAAUUGUCAACAUGAGGCAAAGAAGUACUGUUCCUUGGAUGAGAAAUUUGUAGUUUGUCCCAAACCCUGCAUAUACAGGGUUGAGAAAUGUGGCCACAAAUGCGAGCGCACUUGCCACGUCGACAAUGAUCCUCAUCAUGAAAAAUACGUAUGUCAAAAGCCUUGCGCAAAAGCCAAACAAGGAUGUACGGCGGGUCUUGAUGGUGACCGCGGUAACCACCAGUGCCCCAAGAAAUGUCAUGAAGCUUGUGAUCCAUGCGUUGUGGAAGUUACAAAGAAACGUGCCAACUGUAAACAUGCUGAACUCAUCGCUUGCAACAAAUCCGUGGACGACACAAAAUGCAAGAAGAAAUGUGCCCGCUCCCUGCCGUGCGGACACUUCUGCAAGAAGAAAUGCUUCGAGACAUGUGGAGACUGCACACAAAUGGUAACAAAGGUAAUACCGGAGUGCGGGCACAAAGUGAAGGUGCAAUGCAAGGAGGCGGCGACUCGCGAUGUGUGCGGCGAGAGGUGCGAGCGCACACUGUCCUGCGGCCACGCUUGCCUCGGCCGCUGUGCAGACCGCUGUGACGUCACCACUUGCACCCUCACCGCGGACCAAAUCUACAAAUCCCCUUGCUUACACAACGUCCGAUUGCCGUGCAACGUCGUACGAUACUCCGUCACUGAACUAACAGAUGAAGUAUAUUUGCGGCACUGCGAUGCGCCGUGCGGGGCGCUGCUGGCGUGCGGGCACCUGUGUGGGGGCACGUGCUCCCAGUGCCGCCAGGGCCGUCUGCACGUCGCCUGCAGCCAGACCUGUCACCAAACUAACAUCUGUGGACAUCAGUGCCAGGAACCGUGCAACCAGGUGUGCCCGCCGUGCAGCAAGCGGUGCGAGGUACGGUGCACGCACUCCCAGUGCAACAAGCUGUGCGGCGAGCUGUGCACGCCCUGCCAGGAGGCGUGCAGUCGGCGAUGCCCGCACGGGACGUGCCAGCAGCGCUGCGGCGAGGCGUGCUCGCGGGCCGCAUGCGAGGCGCCCUGCCCGCGGGCCCUGAGCUGCGGGCACCCCUGCCGCGGCCUGUGCGGCGAGCCCUGUCCCGACAUCUGCAAACUCUGCCGCCCCGACAACUUCCCCACGGGUUUCAUCGGCGAGGAAUACGAUGAUGAUGCCAAGUUCAUUCAGCUGCAGGACUGUCAGCACGUGAUGGAGGUGCAGGAGUUGCACAGCCUGAUGACGGCGGACAGGGAUACCAUCGCUAUCCGCACCUGCCCCUUCUGCAGGACGCCCAUCAUCAACACCAACAGAUACAAGGACCUCGUCAACAGAACCUUCGCUCUCGAGAUCAAUCCGGUCAAAGAGCGGGUUUAUGGAACUACGGAACAGAUAAAAAUCAAACAGAAUGAGCUUGAAAAUGCAGUGAAGGAAUUUAAGGCAAAAAUUAAAGCGAUUAGCACAGAUAUCCCGAUAUGGAAAAAAUCACUCUCAAAGUUAUCAGCGAAAUGUAAUCAAAAGAAGAAGAGGUCACUGUUAAGUUUGGAGAUGGCUUUCAUAUUUCUAGAAAUAUUGGAUAUGAUAUCUGAUGUUUACGAUAAAUCACUCGCAAUCGUAAUGGACGAAUCGAAAGUGGACCUGCGGAUACACAUUGAAACAAUAUGUCAAUAUUUAAACACAAAUACACAGAAAAUUAGCGAACAGCAACAAACAGAUAUUGGAAAAGAAAUAAAGAGAUUGAAUUACAUAAUUCAACUGAACAAAAUAACAGGUCAUAUGGUGUAUAAGAGAGCGGUCGCGGAGAAUUCUGCACUGACGCAAUACGCGGCCGCGGCCAAACAGCUCAUACUUGGCUGGAAUGUUUUUGAAGAAGAAAAAGCUCUAAAUUCAUUAAGUAACUUACAGAAAAAGGUUGAACUUUCUGGUAUAGUAAGCAAAGAGGAGCGCGAUUUGAUUGUUAAAGCUAUAGGUCUUAAAGCCGGUCACUGGUACAAAUGCCCUAACGGCCACUUCUAUUGCAUCGGAGAAUGUGGCGGCGCCAUGGAAGUGGGUCAAUGUGUGGAGUGCGGCGCUCGCAUCGGUGGCUCCAGUCACAGGCUGCUCGGCACCAACAGCCACGCGCCUGAGAUGGAUGGCUCCUCGUAUGCUGCUUGGUCCGAACAAUAUAAUAAUAUGGCCAACUUUUUCAUAGAUUAACUUGCACCAAACAUUAUUUAGUUUUAAGAUUAGUAUAUCAACUAUUAUGGGCACUAAGUUUAACCCUUAAAUGGACAAUGUUGUUUUUAAACAACAUACUAAACAUCACAGAUAAAAUUAUCUUUAUUUUAUUUUUUUGUUAAUUUUGACAACUAGUUCUUAUUUCUAAAAAAAAUAGUAAAUUCAUGUCUAGAUUUUUUUACUCAUUUUUCCUAGACAGUAAUACAUGUCUAUUACACAAAUAUAUUUUUUUAAAACGUAAAAAAAAAAUCGUCCAUU